ACUCAAAUGAAUUGACGGGGACCCGCACAAGUAGUGGAGCAUGUUCUUUAAUUCGAUGUUAACCGAUAAACCUUACCAGGGUUUGACAUCCCGAGAAUUUUGCCGAAAGGCGAGAGUGCUUUAUUGAACUCGGUGACAGAUGAUGCAUGGCCGUCGUCAGCUCGUGUCGUGAGAUGUUAGGUUAAGUCCUUCAACGAGCGCAACCCUUAUGAUUAGUUGAAUUUUUCUAAUCAGACUGCCCUGGCAACAGGGAGGAAGGAGGGGAUGAGGUCAGGUCAGUAUUUCUCUUACAUCCUGGGCUAGAAACGUGCUACAAUGGCCGGUACAACGGGCAGCCAAGUCGCGAGACGGAGCUAAUCCCGCCAAAGCCGGUCCCAGUUCGGAUUGCAGGCUGAAACUCGCCUGCAUGAAGUCGGAAUUACUAGUAAUCGCAGAUCAGCAUGUUGCGGUGAAUACGUUCCCGGGUCUUGCACACACCGCCCGU
rnacentral:rRNA from 1 species